AUAAAUGUACAAAUAAAAUAUUAACUAGUUAAAUUACUUUAAAAUGAACUUGAACAAUAAAAUUCCAUCUAAAACCUGGCCAUCUCUUGGUCUACAGAUGACGAUCCCUGUUCCUGCAUUCUUCCUUGCUCUUGCUGUCCCUGAGAGAUGUUGUGUGUGAGCACGUUUAUAAGACUCUGUGCGGCUGCAGCCACUGUCGAGUUAUGGUCGACAUUCUGACAAACAGAGGUUAACAAAGAAAAUCCACGUUAAAGGCAUAAAACAACUUGAGCUAGUUACUGAAAUGAGUAACUACUUCCUGUGCUUUAGUAGGAUGGAGCUAACUUAGUUCAUGCUAAUCCAGGUGUAACACAGAUGAAAUGAUCUAGGUUUAAAAAUAGGAAAAGCCUAUAAAAAUCUGAAUGAGUGAUUUUAUUUUUGAAAUGCAACUUGAGAGAUUAUCUAAGGAUUUUAAAGGGUUAAAAUUCAGUUACCAGGGCAAAAUAGACCGACAGGUUAGUUUGGCCAAUCAGCUGACAGCAGGUAGGUCCGCCCACCUGCUCCCGCGUCUCUGUGAGCGAGCGAAGGUUUUUUUUCUCCCCGCUGCUGUGUGUGUGUGGAGAGACAGAAGUGCUACGCUGCUGUAGAGGAUGAAAACUGUGAAAAACGGAGAAACCUGGAGAAAAUACAGCUAAAAACGAACUACACUGAGGCUAACUUCAACACUACAAACGUGGUAGCUAACUGCUGUAAGAAUUUAGUUGUAAGUUCAGUGUUUAGAUAUAGCGCUUGAGACGACUAGCAGCGGUAGCUUUGAUGUCCGUAGGAUUUCCCGCGACGCGCAGUCUUUGCUGAUUCAAGAGCGAGAAGACCUUGUGGCUUUACUGGGCGCCGCCAUUUUGGGUGUGUGUCCAGCCGCUCUGGUGAAAUCAGUGAGAAUGUUAAUUUUCAACUUAAGAAUUUCACUUACUUUGUACCUUAAAUUAUUUAUGUGCACUUAGUGAAUAUGAAGCUACAAUUUUAGUUGAACAAGCUGGUUUACUGUGUUGUUUAAUGUGUAAACUCAGCUUACUUUACUUUGCACUUGCAUCAAAACUGUAAUUGUUCUAACGUGCAGCUAAUUGGUGCAGCUUAUCUAGUUGUGUGCAGCCAAGUUAUUUAUGUUUAUAUGCUGAAUAUUGAGAGAGAGAGGCACAGAAAGUAAACACCCACAGUAUGUAUAUCAUUGUGUAUUGUGAAUUUCAUGUAGUGUAUAUUAUUGCAUGAGACUUAAGCAGUGAAUAUUUCUCUGACCCUGUCUGUUGACAGGUCAGGGGUUUUUUUUGUGUGUGCGCGUGUUUCUUCUUCCAUUGUCUGGAUUGGAUCUGCGGAUGAAAAUUGAUGGCGAGCCGUCCCUCUUGAAUGAUUGUGGGAGCCAUUCCCUCUUCAGGAUCACUGGACCUGUCCCGCUACUACUGCACUUUGCGGUGUGGUAGGCCCCACUAGAACACAAAACCCCUUCACUCACCUUCACACUCCUUCCCCCACACACAUACAUACACCAACCCUAUGGAACUCUGAACUCUGACUUACCUUCGACACAUCCAUUUUUUUGUUUGGACUUUGGACUCACUUAAACAAACUCACCUGUUCACACCUUGGGACUGAGAAUUUGGAGCUGAGUAGUAGGAAUCAUUCCUGCAGUUAAGGGUUACUGUUGUACUGUGUGAAUUCUACUGGAUUGUAUUAUUGAACUGGAUCUGAACAAACUUGAAUGUGGUGUUAUUAACAGAAAUUCAGGUUUAAAGGGUGCACCCGGGAAUUUAAUUAUAGAACUACUUCAAAGAGUGAAAUACUCACUUUAAAUUUGGAAAGCAAGCAUCUCAUGCUGAUGUCAUAGCCUGAUUGUGAUAUCAGUAAUCGCCUUAUUCAUUACUUGUUUUAUUAUUGUACUUUUUCAUUUUUGGUACCAACAAAUAUUUUUAUUUUUAUACAUAUCUUCAAAUAUAAGAAGCCGGCAUCA